GUUUGGUGAGAAAAUAUAGCUUCCUACAUCACCUCCAACGCCAGCUAAAGAUUUUGGUGUGUCUCUCUGUACUCCUCUCUGGUGUACUCUAACUUGAGAAGCUGAGAAGAUUGAUUGCUUUAACAGUAAAGAUUGUAUAUGGUGGAUUCUGGUGAUGGAGAAGCCUUGACUUCAGAUGAUGUUCUUGAAGGUUAAUUGUGCACAUUAGAUGAAUCUGAAAAGACUUCGGAAUCUCUGAGCAAGAUGAAGCAAAAAUGAGUAUUUAUGCUUUGCCUUUUUAUCAUCAUCAUCAUCAUCAUUUAGGGUCACAAACACAUUAGCUUGAAUAUGAUGAAGUUGUGUGGUAAUUAAAACGCUGCGUUAUAUGCGUAAAAGUCACUCACUACUAAACAAACCAAGGACUUCUUCACUC